rnacentral:rRNA from 1 species
ACGGGUGCGUAACGCGUGGGAAUCUGCCCUUAGGUUCGGAAUAACAGCUGGAAACGGCUGCUAAUACCGGAUGAUAUCGCGAGAUCAAAGAUUUAUCGCCUGAGGAUGAGCCCGCGUUGGAUUAGGUAGUUGGUGGGGUAAAGGCCUACCAAGCCGACGAUCCAUAGCUGGUCUGAGAGGAUGAUCAGCCACACUGGGACUGAGACACGGCCCAGACUCCUACGGGAGGCAGCAGUGGGGAAUAUUGGACAAUGGGCGCAAGCCUGAUCCAGCAAUGCCGCGUGAGUGAUGAAGGCCCUAGGGUUGUAAAGCUCUUUUACCCGGGAAGAUAAUGACUGUACCGGGAGAAUAAGCCCCGGCUAACUCCGUGCCAGCAGCCGCGGUAAUACGGAGGGGGCUAGCGUUGUUCGGAAUUACUGGGCGUAAAGCGCACGUAGGCGGCUUUGUAAGUCAGAGGUGAAAGCCUGGAGCUCAACUCCAGAACUGCCUUUGAGACUGCAUCGCUUGAAUCCAGGAGAGGUCAGUGGAAUUCCGAGUGUAGAGGUGAAAUUCGUAGG